UGGAGGCAAUGAUAUCUGACUGGAGAUCUCUGUAUACCUGAGGCCUUCUGAAGUGUUCAGACUCACAGAGAGGAAUAGCAGCUGUUCCUGUCACAUUAAGGAGAAAACGAAAAAGUUUCUUUAUUCGAGGGCACUAUAGGCUUUCAGAUUAUUUACUGCUGAAUCUGUUGCAGAAUGUCAAUGCCCUGGGCAUAGCAAGGCCUGUUCCUCCACGCACUGGAUGAUGUGAAGGCAGCACUGAAGGGAAACCCAUUGCAGAGGUCUUUUUAUAAGAAUGUUUGGCAUCUGCUUGCACAAGUUUUGAGGAAAUAAAGCACAUUAUAAUUAAACUUUGAA